AUUGAACGCUGGCGGCAUGCCUUACACAUGCAAGUCGAACGGCAGCACGGGGCAACCUGGUGGCGAGUGGCGAACGGGUGAGUAAUGCAUCGGAACGUACCUUUCAGUGGGGGAUAACGUAGCGAAAGUUACGCUAAUACCGCAUAUUCUGUGAGCAGGAAAGCAGGGGAUCGCAAGACCUUGCGCUGAUUGAGCGGCCGAUGUCAGAUUAGCUAGUUGGUGAGGUAAAGGCUCACCAAGGCGACGAGCUGUAGCGGGGCUGAGAGGAUGAUCCGCCACACUGGAACGGAGACACGGUCCAGACUCCUGCGGGAGGCAGCAGUGGGGAAUUUUGGACAAUGGGGGCAACCCUGAUCCAGCCAUGCCGCGUGAGUGAAGAAGGCCUUCGGGUUGUAAAGCUCUUUCGGCCGGGAAGAAAUCGCACGGGCUAAUACCCUGUGUGGAUGACGGUACCGGAAUAAGAAGCACCGGCUAACUACGUGCCAGCCGCCGCCGUAACAC
rnacentral:rRNA from 1 species